rnacentral:lncRNA from 1 species
AAAAAAGAGAAGUGUCAUAUCUAGAACUAAAGAGUCUUAGGGGAAAAUUCACUGGGACUUCUUAUAGAAAAAUGAAAUGUUAACAUUAGCAUUAAAAAGGAAUUCUUUCUUCAGGAGGCAAGUACCGACUCAUGGCUAUAGUAGAAAACUCACCUGCGUGAAGCAGAAUAGUGUCAUUUCACAUAGGAUCUGAAACUCACCCAUCUGCCCCGUGAAAUGAAGAGCUGAUGCAAAGCUUUUUUUUUAAACUACAUAUCAUCAUUAAAAUCCUUGUACUAAAUGUGCAGUGCUUAGGAAUCCAGCUCAUCAGUAUCAAAACACAGAACAAAACAGCCUGGAUGCUUUUGAGAGAUUAUUGUGGUUAGCAGUGAGGUGGAGAUAGUUCUGGGGAAGGACGGGAUAAGCUCUCCACAACCUACUCCAAGAGACUGCAACAUCCAUCAAAGAAUGUAUGUGAUUGAAGGACAAAAGAGCAAAAGGAAUUUGGUAGCACUACUCCACUGGAGGAGCUGGGGGGUAGUGGAAGGGCAACAAGAUGUAAGUGUGGGAGAGUUCAAGUCAUGAAGUAAUAUAAAUCAUGGUUCAGAUCACGGUUAAGUUGAGGUGAUUUAGCAAGUACCUUGCAACUAGCUGAGCUCAUCUGAUGUUGAGAACUCAGUAGAAAAUCAGAGACUUGUUCUUAGAUCAUGCAAAGCAAUCUACAACAACCCAGGGCUCUGAAAAAUAAGAUCCUAGGCAUCUUAAACUGGGCCCUCAAAACUGCUGGCAUUGACAUUUCCUAACUUUUGAGUGCUUGACUUAGCAA